GUUUUCACCUUAUUGCUCAAAUUUAAACUCAAAAUCAAGAUUGAGGAGAUAAUCAAUUAAAUUGUCUCACAUUCUUUUUCUAAAUCUGUUGUUUUUCGAUUCAAUAUCUAAUCUAAUCAAUCUUGUGCUUCCUUCGAUUACAGAUUUUGUUGUGGCGAGAGGAUGAACAAUCAUAGUAGAAGCAACAGGAACACAGGCACUGGUCCACCCACUCAAUCGGUCCUUAAUAGUAUGUUGAAGCCUUGAGAUUCUUCUUUCAUGACUAUGUUGGUUCAUAACUUAUGCCUUAAAAGUGGACCCAACCUAGGUUCUAAAGCAUCAAAGAUUCGUAUUCUAUGUGAUUUUAAACAGCCUGACCCCGCCUGGUAAGCACAGCAUUUGGGUGAGGGGUCGGGUUGGGUGAGGCCAAAGCACUACUUUGUUGUUGUUGUUGUUGUUGUUGUUUUUACAAAAUUAACAUAAUAAUUAGGAUGGUUCGAUAUGUGUGGGGGGGGGUCAAUGAGGGUGCUGGCGCUGAUGAAAGAUCUAUCUUAGUGAGGACAAUGGUAGAAAGCAAAGCAAGCAAAAAUGUGCUUCGCGAAUUUUACCUACUUGGUAAGAUGCUAAUUUACGUGCCACUGAAUUCGCUGACGACAACGUAGUUGCGACACCUGGCAUUCAAAUGGUUGAAGUGACUGCACCUGCAUCAACUAAAAUUACACUGAAGUUGUUGCAGCAAUUUCUUUAUUUUGUGAACAUCUUGCAGCGUUAAUACGAACAACGAAGGUUAUCAAAGGAACAAAUGAAGAACUACAAAAACCUUCAGAAGAUGGAAAUGCUUUGGUCUAUCCUUUUGCGGUUGUAAUGAACAAGGAGUUUGAUCGUCACGUUCGACUUUAUAGCAAAGGUUUUGCUAAAAGAUGAUGAAAAUAUGGAUGGUGGUGAGGAAGCAUACACGAUUCUAGGUGGGAUUUUAUCAUGGCGGAGAGGAACCAUACAUGAUGGUUACAUUCGACUUAUAUCAUUGAAACACCAAAGCGCCAACCAGCAAAAUUUGAAGCUAUGAUGUAGAGUAUUAUUGAAAAGCUAUUUGUUGACUAGUUUAGGAUCUUAGAUGCCAAUGAGGUUUUCGUUACCUUUUAUCAUUGUAAUU
rnacentral:lncRNA from 1 species